AUUCCUCACGGACCUGUUGCUCGGGCCUGCCCAGUCCCUCGGGCUCCCAACGCUGGAAGCUUGCAGCCGGGCUAUGGAGCCCUGUUUGGUCCACUGUCCUCCGAGCAGUCCACAACGGUGGACUUGCUCUUAUAUAUAGCGUCAGUAGUGGGUUUCUUUGGUUCAUGUCGUACAUGGUGGUUAACCAUGUUUUUCACGGUGGAUCACCUUCUUUGAUUGGUGGAGCAUGAGUUAUAGCAGGGGGAGAGAAAGGGUUAAUUGGUAUUCUUCCUGUUCAAGAUGCUGCCGAGGCAGCAACAGUGGACUCUGUGUUGUCUCUAGGAAUGCGAAGUGAUUCUGGUGAACGAAGCUAUAGAGUUCAAGUUUGUACUCAUCUCUCAUUCUUCCUCUCUCUCCUUCUCUACUGGAAAAUCCAGUCUUUCAUCUUCCUCGGCUCUUCCUUUCUCUCCGCUCCCCGUAUCUCUCUCCUUGGAGCCUACAAACCAAGUCGUGACGGUCGACAAGCUUCAAACAUGCUGGACGCGUACUGGAGAAGGGACAGUUCUGUCCGUUGCGGAGACGGGGGAGUAUGGGGGUAGGGGAGAGGAUUUUCGGCAGGGAGAUAUGGGUUUAGGGAGAAAGAGUAAGGGAGAAGUAUGGGGUAGGCUGAUUUCCAGGGAUUUCCUUUCACCCCUUCACUCACCACGAACCCAUCUUUCUCUUCAUUUCUCCCACCCUCAAAUCUUCCGUUUUCCCUCUCGCAAAAUACCCAUCAAGGAAACCCUGCUUUUGGUUUAUUUUGGGAUUUUGUUUGUGCUCUCGAUUUUCAGACGAGGGGCCAAUUGGUUGAGGUUUGGAAUUCUCCCCUUUUUGUCGAAGCGCACAAAUUGUGUUUCAGUGGGAUCGGUCUCGAAUAGCUGCGUGCGUCUACUCUUUUCAAGGUAUGGUGUUCGCCGAUGGCAUGUUUUAGCGUGUUUCUGUUUUUUUUUUUUUUUUUUUUUUCUUUGUUUUAUAUUUCUAAUUUAUCGUUUGCUGCUUGACAAUGGUGAUUGUAAGUUUUAGUUUGGAUGUUUUUCUGAUUUUGGGUUGGUCAGUGCGUUUGGGUUGCUUGAGAAAAUGUGAUCCCAUGUUUUUUAUUGAGUGAAAUAAUUAAGAGAUAGAAAAGAGUGGAGAAUUAGCGUCGAGAGUAGUGAUGAAAAAAAUGAGGAAAAAAAGAUAGAUGUGGAAGAAAGGGGGAGACUGGAAAUUGAGGAAAGUGAAGAGAAAAAAAAAGGGGGUUAAGUGAGCAGCCAAAAGAGAAAAAAUGAGG